ACUGCAAGUCGAGCGAACAGAAGGGAGCUUGCUCCUUUGACGUUCGCGGCGGACGGGUGAGUAACACGUGGGUAACCUACCUAUGAGAGUGGGACAACUUCGGGAAACCGGAGCUAAUACCGGAUAAUAUGUUGAAGCGCGGGGUUCAGUAGAGAAAGAUGGUUUUGCUAUCACUUAUAAAUGGACCCGCGCCGUAUUAGCUAGUUGGUGAGGUAACGGCUCACCAAGGCACCAAUACGUAGCCAACCUGAGAGGGUGAUCGGCCACACUGGAACUGAAACACGGCCCAAACUCCUACGGGAGGCACCGUUAGGGAAUCUUCCGCAUGGGGGAAAAGCCUGACGGAUCAACCCCGCGUGAGUGAUGAAGGUCUUAGGAUCGUAAAAUUCUGUUAUUAGGGAAAAACAAACGUGUAAGUAACUGCCCGCCUUAACGGUACCUAAUCAAAAAGCCACGGCUAACUACGUGCCAGCAGCCGCGGUAAUACGUAGGUGGCAAGCGUUAUCCGGAAUUAUUGGGCGUAAAGCGCGCGUAGGCGGUUUUUUAAGUCUGAUGUGAAAGCCCACGGCUCAACCGUGGAGGGUCAUUGGAAACUGGAAAACUUGAGUGCAGAAAAGGAAAGUGGAAUUCCAUGUGUAGCGGUGAAAUGCGCAAAGAUAUGGAGGAACACCAGUGGCGAAGGCGACUUUCUGGUCUGUAACUGACGCUGAUGUGCGAAAGCGUGGGGAUCAAACAGGAUUAGAUACCCUGGUAGUCCACGCCGUAAACGAUGAGUGCUAAGUGUUAGGGGGUUUCCGCCCCUUAGUGCUGCAGCUAACGCAUUAAGCACUCCGCCUGGGGAGUACGACCGCAAGGUUGAAACUCAAAGGAAUUGACGGGGACCCGCACAAGCGGUGGAGCAUGUGGUUAUUCGAACAACGCGAAAAACCUUAC
rnacentral:rRNA from 1 species